UUUCCGUAGGUGAACCUGCGGAAGGAUCAUUAUCGAUUCAACGAAGUGCCUGUGAGUUGUGCUGGCCUCUCUCGGGGUAUGUGCACGCUUCAUGGGUCUUCACACAUCCACACCUGUGAACCAAUUGUAGGUCUUUCGGGACCUAUGUCUUCUCAUAACACACUGUAUGUCUAGAAUGUCAUUAUGAUUAUCGUCUGCUUCCUUUGUGGAGUUGGGCUGAUAAGAUAAACAAUAUACAACUUUCAGCAACGGAUCUCUUGGCUCUC
rnacentral:misc_RNA from 1 species